GGCCAACAGCCUGUGAAGGCCCCUGCACCUCCACUCUAGGAGGCCAGCAGGCAGGGCCUGUGUCUGCCAAGGGACAGGCCAGGCCAGUUGCAGGUACCCAUUGGAUGUAUGUUUGAUGGAAAAUGGCUAAGAUGCUGAAGACCAGGCCCAGGCCAGAGGGAGGGGACGAGUCUGGCCUGGCCAAGGGGGAGGGAACAGGCAGGGACAGGAGACCAGCAGGUGCAAAGGCCUGGGGUGGGGCCAGCCCACCACAGUUAGGGACUGCAGAGGACCUCAGAGUGGCUGAGGAGGCCUGUAUCAUCCCCGUCUACGCCCUCCGUCUCCUCCACCACGCUGGUGAAGCUGCUGGCGCUGGAGGAAGAUCUGGAGAAGCCCUGCAGCACUUCCGUUCUCUGGGCAGCCGACUCCACUCUGCCACACAGUGCCGUGAGCCAUCAGCCGUGGGCACUGUGCCACAAUCCCUUGUCCCCUGCCUUCCCCAAGGAAACUCAGCCUGGAGCCAAGCAAGCACCCUGGGACUCCCAACACAGCUCGUCCAGCCUCUCAGCUCCCGUGGACUCCCAGUGACGCCCUUCCCAUUCCUUGAUAGAUCCCUCC
rnacentral:lncRNA from 1 species